UACGGGGGGGGCAAGCGUUGUUCGGAAUUACUGGGCGUAAAGCGCGCGUAGGUGGCUUUUCAAGUCAGGCGUGAAAGCCCCAGGCUUAACCUGGGAACUGCGUUUGAUACUGUUAAGCUAGAGUGUGGAAGGGGCUACUGGAAUUCCGUGUGUAGCGGUGAAAUGCGUAGAUAUCAGGAGGAGCACCUGUGGUGUAGACAGCUUACUGGACCACUUCUGACGCUGAGACACGAAAGCGUGGGUAGCAAACAGG
rnacentral:rRNA from 1 species